ensembl:piRNA 21ur-1433 ncRNA
UGGGCAUAUCUCCGGUCACAA